rnacentral:rRNA from 1 species
CCUACGGGAGGCAGCAGUGGGGAAUAUUGCACAAUGGGCGAAAGCCUGAUGCAGCAACGCAGCGUGCGCGAUGAAGGCCUUCGGGUCGUAAAGCUCUGUCCUCAAGGAAGAUAAUGACGGUACUUGAGGAGGAAGCCCCGUCUAACUACGUGCCAGCAGCCGCGGUAAUACGUAGGGGGCUAGCGUUAUCCGGAAUUACUGGGCGUAAGGGGUGCGUAGGUGGUUUCUUAAGUCAGAGGUGAAAGGCUACGGCUCACCCGUAGUAAGCCUUUGAAACUGGGGAACUUGAGUGCAGGAGAGGAGAGUGGAAUUCCUAGUGUAGCGGUGAAAUGCGUAGAUAUUAGGAGGAACACCAGUUGCGAAGGCGGCUCUCUGGACUGUAACUGACACUGAGGCACGAAAGCGUGGGGAGCAAACAGGAUUAGAUACCCUUGUAGUC